UCCCUCGUCCUCUCGGUCGUGGGGCUGGGGGUCGCCACGCAGGUCGCGUCCCACUUCCUCCAGUCGCGCGAGCUCAGCCAGGCGUGGAAG
rnacentral:SRP_RNA from 11 species